ensembl:snoRNA LOC120102664 small nucleolar RNA SNORA17
CCUGCUCCUAUAGGUACUACAGGUAUGGAUGAUGUGUCACAUGUGCAUCAGUAUGUGGCAGAGAGGAGAAAGGCUAUUUCUACACUCAGUAUUCUCACCCACGACCAUCUGAAUGAUUAAUAGACUAACAUU